rnacentral:rRNA from 1 species
CUACGGGCUGCAGCAGUGAGGAAUAUUGCACAAUGGAGGAAACUCUGAUGCAGCAACGCCGCGUGGAGGAUGACGCAUUUCGGUGUGUAAACUCCUUUUAUAUGUCAAGAAAAUGACGGUAGCAUAUGAAUAAGCACCGGCUAACUCCGUGCCAGCAGCCGCGGUAAUACGGAGGGUGCAAGCGUUACUCGGAAUCACUGGGCGUAAAGGACGCGUAGGCGGGAUAUCAAGUCAGGUGUGAAAUCCUACAGCUUAACUGUAGAACUGCACUUGAAGCUUCUAAUCUAGAGUAUGGGAGGGGGAGAUGGAAUUAGUGGUGUAGGGGUAAAAUCCGUAGAUAUCACUAGGAAUACCUAAAGCGAAGGCGAUCUCCUGGAACAUUACUGACGCUAAGGCGUGAAAGCGUGGGGAGCAAACAGGAUUAGAUACCCCCGUAGUC